rnacentral:lncRNA from 1 species
AUGCUGGACACUAGUUGGAACCUGCAAAGCCCCCGCCCCCUCCCCUCGCCCCCUCCCCUUCCCCUCCUCCCCUUUCCCCUUCUCCCCUUCUCCCCCUUUCCCUCCUCCCCCUUUCCCUCUCCCCCUUCUCCCCUGCUCUCUCCCCCUCCUCUCUCCCCCUUCUCCCCUUCUUCCCUUUCCCUCUGUCUCCCUUCCCCUCUCUCCAAAUUUCCCUCUCCCCCUUCCCGUCGCUCCCCCUUUCCCUCUUCCCCUUCUUCCCUUCUCUCCCGCUUUCCCUCUUCCCCUUCUCCCCCUUUCCCUCUCCCCCUUCUCCCCUGCUCUCUCCCCCUCCUCUCUCCCCCUUCUCCCCUUCUUCCCUUUCCCUCUGUCUCCCUUCCCUCUCUCCAAAUUUCCCUCUCCCCCUUCCCGUCGCUCCCCCUUUCCCUCUUCCCCUUCUUCCCUUCUCUCCCGCUUUCCCUCUUCCCCUUCUCCCCCUUUCCCUCUCCCCCUUCUCCCCUGCUCUCUCCCCCUACUCUCUCCUCCUUCUCCCCUUCUUCCCUUCCCCUCUCUCUCCCUUCCCCUCUCUCCAAAUUUCCCUCUCUCCAAAUUUCCCUCUGCCCCUUUCCCUUCUACCCUUCUCUCCCUCUCCCCCCCCUUCCCCUCUCUUUCCCUUCCCCUCUCUCUCCCUUCCCCUUUCUCCCCCCUCCCCUCUCUACCCCUUCCCCUCUCUCCACCCCUUCCCCUCUCUCCCCCUUUCUCUUUUCUCCUUCCCCCCCCCUUCCUCCUCUCCCACUUUCCCUCUAUCCCCUUCUCCCCUUCUCCUCCUCCUCUCUCUCCCCCUUCCCUCUCUCCCCCUUCCCUCUCUCUCCCCCUUCCCUCUCUCUCCCCCUUCCCUCUCUCUCCCCCUUCCCUCUCUCUCCCCCUUUCCUCUCUCCCCUCCCCUCUCCCGCCUCCCCCCUCCCCUCUCCCCUCUCCCCCUCCCCGUCCCCCCCCGCGCCCAGCCAGCUGCGAGCGGCGGCGGCGGCGACGACGGCGGCGGCGGCGGCGGCGGCGGGCCGGGCAGAUGCGACCCGGCGGCUCCCAGGGACGGCGGCGGUGGCAGUUGCGGUGGCAUCAGCCGGAGCCGGCAUCUCCUACCUCCGCCUCCCGGCCGGUGCCCGGGUCCUGAGAACGGAGCGGGAGCAUCCCCUUCCCGGACCCUCCAGCCGCCCCCUCUCCCCGGCCCGGGACCGGCCCCAAGGACCGGCCCCGCAGCACGGACCAGUCCCAAGGACCAGCCCCAAGACCAGCCCAGACCGGCCCCAGGACCAGCCCAGUCCAGCCUCAGAACCAGUCCAGUCCGACGACCAGCCUCAGAACCAGCCCAGCCCCAGGACCAGCGCGGUCCGACCCAGGACCAGCCCGAGGACCAGCCUCAGGACCAGCCCAGUCCAGCCUCAGAACCAGCCCGAGGACCGGCCCGGUCCAGCCCCAGGACCGGCCCCUCCAGCGAGCCAGAAGGGAGGAGGGCGGGGGGCUCGGGCGGGCCAAGCGGGGGCUGCGGUCACCUCUCCGGGCCCCCCGAAGUUGGGCCGCCCCUGGACUCGACGGCUCGGACAGGGGCGGCGGGACCCCCCGGGUUCCCGCCCGGGACCUCUGCUCCGCCCCCCGCCCCGCGGAAGAGGAGGAGGGGGACGGCAGGGGCGACCCCGAAGUUUCCAGGGAGCCGAAGGCCGGGGUGGGGAGGAGAGCGAGUUGGUCCGCCCCGGGUCCAGCUGUCCGGCCGGGGUCUCGGGACCCUGUCGCUGGUCGGGCGGGGCGCUUGGCGCAAAGUGA